UACGGAGGGGGGCUAGCGUUGUUCGGAAUUACUGGGCGUAAAGCGCACGUAGGCGGCUUUGUAAGUUAGAGGUGAAAGCCCGGGGCUCAACUCCGGAAUUGCCUUUAAGACUGCAUCGCUAGAAUUGUGGAGAGGUAAGUGGAAUUCCGAGUGUAGAGGUGAAAUUCGUAGAUAUUCGGAAGAACACCAGUGGCGAAGGCGACUUACUGGACACAUAUUGACGCUGAGGUGCGAAAGCGUGGGGGAGCAAACCGG
rnacentral:rRNA from 1 species